rnacentral:rRNA from 1 species
UUGGAGGGCAAGUCUGGUGCCAGCAGCCGCGGUAAUUCCAGCUCCAAUAGCGUAUAUUAAAGUUGUUGCAGUUAAAAAGCUCGUAGUUGAAUUUCGGGAUCAAUGUUUCGGUCAUGCCGUUGGUAUGUACUGAUAUUAUUGGUUUCUCACCUUCUAAAGAACCGUAAUGCCAUUAAUUUGGUGUCACGGGGAAUUAGGACUGUUACCUUGAAAAAAUUAGAGUGUUUAAAGCAGGCUCACGCUUGAAUACAUUAGCAUGGAAUAAUAAAAUAGGACGGUGGUCCUGUUUUGUUGGUUUCUGAAUCACCGUAAUGAUUAAUAGGGAUAGUUGGGGGCAUUAGUAUUCAAUUGUCAGAGGUGAAAUUCUUGGAUUUAUUGAAGACUAACUUCUGCGAAAGCAUUUGCCAAGGAUGUUUUCAUUAGUCAAGAACGAAAGUUAGGGGAUCGAAGACGAUCAGAUACCGUCGUAGUCUUAACCAUAAACUAUGCCGACUAGGGAUCGGACGAUGUUAAAUUUUAUUGACUCGUUCGGCGCCUUACGGGAAAC